UGACGGCUCAAAUUAGCAAAUGAAAACGGCAUUAAAUAAUUAUGACUAGCGUUCGGCACGAGCCCGGUGUAGUGCUCUUCACGGCAGCAACUGAUAAAACAGGUCCUGGACUGAGGAAGCUAACAUGAAGAGCAUUUUCCUGAUGCUUAAAGGAAGUAUUCAGGCGCAUGAACGGGAUGGUGGUUCAAUAUUGUCCCCUGCCUUCAUGAUUCAAGUUGUAUUUUAGUAAAGUAACUACUGUG